GACAGCCUCACGGUAGCCAGGUGCUGACAGAGUGAGCGAGGUGACCCUGCUUUGUGGUACAAGGCGGAGCAUCCAUGAGGUGACGGACCCACCCCAAGCUCCACGGCCCUCGUCUGAGGCUCCGUGCACAGUGGUGAGAGUGAGUCCUACGCGUCAGGGAACCCUCUGCAGAAGUUUACUCUGCAGCAGGUGUCCGAAAGUCCUCAGCUCCGACAGGCACUCACAAAUUCUGUCAUUUCAAGGGGACAUGAAAACAUCAGCCUUCUCAGCCACCUCGCCAUGCAAGUUUCUGCCACAGAGCAGGUACCCCACCCUAAGUCUGAUACCUCUUCAAAAAGCUGUGACUGAAAAUCAAAUUCAACUGAACCAAAAGGCAACAGGGUGUUAGCUAAUUUCACUACUUUACAGAGGAGCUGUACUUGGCCCCUAAAAUUACUUAGAAAGAAUCUUAGCCAUUUUAGAAUUAAAAACACAGAAAUGAAGAAAACGUGGCCAACUUCCUUCAUAAUACUGGAUUAAGAAAGGAUUUUUCUAGCUAUGACUUAAAAUUCAGAAGCCAGAAGAUAAAUGACUGAUUAAUUCAACUACAAAAAAAGUUAAAAAAAAAUUCUGCACGGCAAAAAAUACCGUAAGUUAAAUCAGAAAACUAAUGCAGUGCAGAGGUCAGAUUCCCACAUGUGAACCCACUGGUCACAAGGAGAGAGCUGAUCAUAUGAGGCAACAGGAAAAUAUAUGGCACCACCUAUUCUUGCCAAAAUACUGAAACUGAAAUUGAACAAAUCUCCAGACUGAAACACUAGUUUGUACAAAUACAAGUGAUAGAGAAACAUGUUACACAACACUAAGGAGAUGCAAUCAGCAAAAAAAUCUAAAAUGUAAGAUGCUCCAUACGGCACAUUUUCCCCAACAAAAUAAACAGCAACAUGGAAGAGAAACUAUAGGUUAAGAGAUACUUUAGAGUCAUAUCAACCAAAACUAUAAAUGCAUUUUCCCUUUGACCCAGCUAUCCCACUUCUGGGAAUUCUUAGAUAAAGCUUCCUUUCAUGCAUGAAAUGAAGCAGGCACAGCAUCAUCCAGAGUCACACUACUAACAAUAUAAAAAUCUGGGAGAAAACCAAGGGUGUAUAUAUACUGACUGGCAAAAUAAAGUAUGGUCUAGUCACAUGGUGGAACACCACACGGCUGUAAAAAGAAUGAGAACAUUCUUUUUGUACUGAUAUGGAAGAUCUCCAGGAUAUGUUUAAUGAAAAAAAGAAAAAGAUUCAGAUCAGCAGAUAUGAUGUGCUACCUUUAUGUCUGUGGUGCUGGAGAAGACUCAAGAGUCCCUUGGGCUCUUUUUCUCACUACAAGCAGCGGCUGCUACUGCAGCCGGGCGUCACUUGGCUCCCACGGCAGACAUGGCGACCCUGACAGUGGUCCAGCCGCUCACUCUGGACAGAGAUGUUGCCAGAGCAAUUGAAUUACUGGAAAAACUACAGGAAUCUGGAGAAGUACCAGUGCACAAACUACAAUCCCUCAAAAAAGUGCUUCAGAGUGAGUUUUGUACUGCUAUUCGAGAGGUGUAUCAAUAUAUGCAUGAAACGAUAACUGUUAAUGGCUGUCCCGAAUUCCGUGCCAGGGCCACAGCAAAGGCUACAGCUGCAGCUUUUGCAGCUAGUGAAGGCCAUUCCCACCCUCGGGUAGUCGAACUGCCAAAGACAGAUGAAGGCCUUGGUUUUAACGUGAUGGGAGGAAAGGAGCAAAAUUCUCCCAUUUAUAUCUCUCGCAUCAUUCCUGGAGGGGUGGCCGAAAGACACGGAGGCCUCAAGAGAGGAGACCAGCUGCUAUCAGUGAAUGGACUGGGAUAAUAAAGAGGACCUCCUGGGAAAAUCAUCGCAAGAUAUUGCAGCUAGUAGAAUUUUCCCCACAUAAUACUCUAGUUGAAUUAAUACUUAACAUAAUUUCAAGUCACUUUUAUUCAGUUUGUUGUUAUUCAGUCACUGAGUUGUGUCUGACUCUGCAACCCCAUGGACUGCAGCACACCAGAC